UACGGGGGGGCAAGCGUUGUUCGGAAUUACUGGGCGUAAAGGGCUCGUAGGCGGCCAACUAAGUCGGACGUGAAAUCCCCCGGCUUAACCUGGGAACUGCGUCUGAUACUGGAAGGCUUGAGGAUGGGAGAGGGAUGUAGAAUUCCAGGUGUAGCGGUGAAAUGCGUAGAUAUCUGGAGGAAUACCGGUGGCGAAGGCGGCAUCCUGGACCAUUACUGACGCUGAGGCGCGAAAGCUAGGGGAGCAAACGGG
rnacentral:rRNA from 1 species